UACGUAGGGUGCAAGCGUUGUCCGGAAUUAUUGGGCGUAAAGAGCUUGUAGGCGGUUUGUCGCGUCUGCUGUGAAAUCCCGCGGCUCAACUGCGGGUCUGCAGUCGAUACGGGCAGGCUAGAGUUCGGUAGGGGAGACUGGAAUUCCUGGUGUAGCGGUGAAAUGCGCAGAUAUCAGGAGGAACACCGAUGGCGAAGGCAGGUCUCUGGGCCGAUACUGACGCUGAGGAGCGAAAGCGUGGGGAGCGAACAGG
rnacentral:rRNA from 1 species